rnacentral:tRNA from 1 species
AUGGGCCCGUAGCUCAGCCUGGUCAGAGCGCGCGGCUCAUAACCGCGUGGUCCGGGGUUCGAAGCCCCGCGGGCCCAC